CCUAUUAUAUUUAAACAAAUUUAGGUAUUAAUAAAAUUAACGAAAACCUAUUUAUUUUGGCGGCAAUUCACCUUAUUAAAGGAACUUGUUUAAUAAUCGACAACCCACGCUUAAUUUUACUUAAAUCAAUAAUUUAUAUACCGCCAUCUUAAGAAUUAAUUUACACAAAUUAUUCAAAAAAAC
rnacentral:rRNA from 1 species